rnacentral:rRNA from 1 species
GGGCCCGCACAAGCGGUGGAGCAUGUGGUUCAAUUCGACGCAACGCGAAGAACCUUACCCAGGCUUGAACAGCGAGUCACAUCCGGCGAAAGCCGGCUCCCGCAAGGGGACUCGUAGAGGUGCUGCAUGGCUGUCGUCAGCUCGUGUCGUGAGAUGUUGGGUUAAGUCCCGCAACGAGCGCAACCCUUGUCCUCUGUUGCCAUCAGGUUACGCUGGGCACUCUGAGGAGACUGCCGGUGAUAAACCGGAGGAAGGUGGGGAUGACGUCAAGUCAGCAUGGCCUUUAUGUCUGGGGCUACACACGUGCUACAAUGGCCGGUACAAACCGUCGCGAUACCGUAAGGUGGAGCUAAUCGGAGAAAGCCGGUCUCAGUUCGGAUUGCAGGCUGCAACUCGCCUGCAUGAAGUUGGAAUCGCUAGUAAUCGCGGAUCAGCACGCCGCGGUGAAUACGUUCCCGGGCCUU